CUGGGAAGUUCUAUUGUCCAAGGAUGAAUAGCAUGAAUAAACCUGCAUAUGUUGCUAUCUAUUAACAUUCACCUACAAAACCAGUUCUUAUAUUUGUUUCAUCCCGGCGACAAACAAGGCUAACAGCUUUGGACCUAAUUCAGUAUGCCGCAUCUGAUGAGCAUCCGAGGAAGUUCCUGAGUAUAUCUGAAGAAGAGUUGCAGAUGAUUCUUUCCCAGAUCACAGAUCAGAACCUGAGGCAUUUUGCAAUUUGGUAUUGGUUUGCACCAUGCUGGAUUGAAUGACAAGGAUCGAUCUGCAGUUGAAGAAUUGUUUGGAAACAACAAAAUUCAGGUAUUGGUGUCAACUAGCACGUUGACCUGG